AGGGAAAGCAAGGUGCUCCAGGGUUCAAGGGACGGCCUGGACCGCAAGGCAUGCAGGGUGAAGCUGGUGCUCGUGGGCCUCCUGGUGGCAAAAUAUUCCCUGGUUUACCUGGUCCAACUGGAAGGAAGGGUAUGAAAGGAGUUCAGGGAAUAUCAGGACAGAAAGGUAUGAAAGGU